AGGGAAUCCGGUGCGAAUCCGGAACUGACGCGCAGCGGUGAGCGGCGACGGGCGGGACAACGGCCACUGGACCACGCGGUCCGGGAAGGCGUUCCGCCCGGACGACCCCGAGUCCGAAGACCU
rnacentral:ncRNA from 2 species